GGAGAUGUAGCUCAGUGGCAUAGCGCCUGCCUGGCAGGCACAAGGUCCUGAGUUCGAUUCUCAGUAGCCCCC
rnacentral:tRNA from 1 species